UACGAAGGGGGCUAGCGUUGCUCGGAUUUACUGGGCGUAAAGGGCGCGUAGGCGGCGGACCCAGUCAGACGUGAAAUUCCUGGGCUCAACCUGGGGGCUGCGUUUGAUACAUGUCUGCUUGAGUUCGGAAGAGGGUCGUGGAAUUCCCAGUGUAGAGGUGAAAUUCGUAGAUAUUGGGAAGAACACCGGUGGCGAAGGCGGCGACCUGGUCCGAUACUGACGCUGAGGCGCGAAAGCGUGGGGAGCAAACAGG
rnacentral:rRNA from 1 species